ensembl:lncRNA
CAGCCAGCAGGAGCAGGAGGUGACCGUCCCCUGCACUCAGCUCUGCUGAGGCCGCACCUCAGUGCUGUGUUCAGCGUUGGGCCCUCACUACAAUACGGUCGUGGAGGCCCUGGAGCGUGUGCAGAGAAGGGAACGGAGCUGUGAGGGGUCUGGAGCUCAGUGGGGUGCGAUGGGGAGCAGCUGAGGGAGCUGGGAUUGUUCAGUCUGCAGAAGAGGAGCUCAGGGGAGACCUCAUUGCUCUCUACAACUCCCUGACAGGAGGCUGUGGUGAGGUGGGGGUCGGCCUCUUCUCGUGGGUAACAACAACAGGAUGAGGAGCGGCCUCAGGUUGCACCAGGGGAGGUUCAGGUUGGAUAUUAGGAAGAUCUUCUCCACAGGAGUGGUCGGGCAGUGGCACAGGCUGCCCAAGGAGGUGGUGGAGUCACUGACCCUGGAGGUGUUCAUAGAGAUGUGGCACUGAGGGAUACGGACGUGGACUGAGAAGCUGAGCGCUCUGCUAUGUGUCAGUCCUUGGCUGCUGGAAUUGCACACAGAAGAUGACACCGCCCUUCCUCAGCGGCUCCACGCGAGGCGGUGUCAGCGCAGCUCAGCGCAGCCAUCCGUGAGACAGCAGCGCAGAGCACGCGGAGACGGCGGCGGGCAGUGGGACGGCAUCACCCGGGGUUCUGCAAGCUGUAAUUCACCCGGCACGAGGAAAGGGAAUUAUGUGCGGUGUUAAUUUAAAUGGUAAAGCGCGGAGCCAACAGCAUCACUGCUCCAGAAGCUGAAAUCUGCAGAGCCCGGGAGAAUGUCACCUCCUAAACACCAUAGUCUAGCAACAAGCCCGGCUCUUUGUGCUGCGUGCGGCUUAACUGCAAUAGCUUUUAUUCUCUUAGAUCUUCGUGGUGACUUUAUUCCCUGGAUUUCCCAGCACAACGCCCGGCUCCACAACGCAGCCCUACAGGCGGCGAACGCGAAAUGGCGGCCUGCGCGCCCCGCCUCCCUGCGCAAAGCCCCGC